rnacentral:rRNA from 1 species
GUCGAGGUAGAGCAAAUCACAAAACUACGGUCUCAGUUCAGAUUGCAGGCUGCAACUCGCCUGCAUGAAGUUGGAAUUGCUAGUAAUCGCGAAUCAGAAUGUCGCGGUGAAUACGUUCCCGGGUCUUGUACACACCGCCCGUCACACCAUGGGAGUUGGGAAUGCCCGAAGCCGGUGACCUAACCGAAAGGGAGGAGCCGUCGAAGGCAGGCUUGAUAACUGGGGUGAAGUCGUAACAAGGUAGC